GCAGGUGGCCCUUUUAAGCUGGCCCAGACAACGCAUAGGGCACAUCUAGGGGAAAGAAACAGCACGCUUCAAAGACCCUAAAUGAAAUAAUUCAUACGUAGAGUCAAUUUUUUCGCAAUAAAACCAACGUACUGCCACGGGGGAGAGGAAAAAGGGAAGGAAACGAAGCGCCGACAGCUUUUUAGGAUCGCUGACUCCUGCUACAAAGAGCAAGCGGCGCUAUAAAUACCACCCCAGACAAAUUCCUCUUGCCCACUGGGCACAAAGGUGAACGGGAGACCAUUCACCUCUGGGCCAUAAACCUUGAAAUCGUAAGCAUUUUCAAAAGAAAAAGGGUUUUAUAGCCCUUUGUGGACUUCCCUUUUCCUGAACUGCUUCUUUUGGCUCGAUCCCAAAGUUCACUCUUGCACAAGGGAUCCCCGGAGCAAAUUAAUGCAGUUCAUCACUCGUACGAAUCAAAGAAACAGCGGGAUGCGAUGGAAGAAGCCAGGCUGCACGCGUGCUAAAAUCCGGCAAAAAAAAGAAAUCACCGUAUUUGUUGAAAUUCACUCCCCGGCGCCAGGGUUUGUGCUCAGGAGGCUUCUGAUCUCCCACGGGGACGAAACACCGAGGGGGUCGGAUCCCUUCACCCCGGAGCUGCCCCCCCCCCGCCAGUGAAAAGUGCUGAGCUUUAGUUGAGGGCAGCAGCCUGAACAUCCUCCGGGGACCUCCGAAGAGCGGAGUCCGCUUUGCCUCCUGCCCAUCUCACCCGUUUUGCUGGAGCAGCAGCGGAUCCGGACAGCGUAAGGUGAGGGUUUCACGAGAAGAAGCAGCUUGCUGGCUUGUCAAACGCUAGCAAAAGCUCUCCUACACCUAAACCUGCCCCUAAAUCCUCCCCCCCAGGAACAGAAAGCAGGGUUAACGCAGCAAGCGCUGCUGUUAGUCCUUCCCCCGAGUCUCGCACGCGUUUUCUUCACAGCUCAGAGCAUUUAGGAGUUAAAAGGGGAGAAAUAAUUGGUAGGGGAGCGAUAGUUAAAUACGGACCUUGGAGUUUUAAAUACAGGAGUUUCUCUUUUACAAAUGAAGUCGAGGCACAGCGCCCCACCAGCAGCACGAAUGGAGGCUGGCUUCUACGCUAUUUACAGGUUUUUGAUUUAAAAAACGGCCGAGUUUGGUCAAAUAGAAGUAUAGAACAUCUCCUCCCUAUACAAACCCUCGUUGGCUGAUUCAUUAGUAAGGUGCUCGUUAAGUGUGAACGAAAAGUUAGAGUGGAUUAAUUUGUGUCCGCAUCUAUUUACAAACCACGCUUGUUCGCCCGCCGGCGUGUUCCAGAGAAGCUGAAAGCAAAGUGCCUUGGAGAAAUGUGAGUACAAUUUUUUUUAUACAUAAACUCAUCCGGUUAGGAAAGCGAUGCCACAGGAACCCGGCACCAGGUGGUGUCUCCAAAAGAGUUCAGAAGCACCCGGCUCCAACGGGAAGGAGAAACCAAACGAGGAGAAGGUGCUCAGAAACAAAAGAAAAUUAAAUAAUAAAAUUAUCUUCCCGUCGGGAAAAGAAAAAUAAAAUCCCGAGUGGUCAAAUUCUUUCACCGUCGACGUUCUUGAGAGGUUAUUUUCUGCCUCCCACGAGCUCCAAGUUUGGAAGCCGUCGCCCCGGGAGAGGACCUGACCAGAAUAAAAAGCUGAUUUUGCCCUCGUCGUUUUCAGAUGCUAUGGAAAAAGGAAGGAGAAGAAGUUGAUUUGACCUCUGUUUGCAAACUUAGCGUGGACCAGCACCUCUCUGCUGGACGUUGAAGUUGCAAACAGGUCCCAGAGAUUGCAAGGCAAGCUUGUUAAGGCAGUGGAAGAAACUCAAGACUCCGUUCACGCCUCGUGAUCCCCUUCGAUGCGCUUCUUCGGCAUCAAAAGGGGUCGGAAAAACCUGGUCGGAAAAAAAAGGCAUUCGGAGCAGCGUAAAAAAGGGCUCAAGGAGGGGCAGAAGCCGGGGUUCCUCACCAGCGCUCCUUCUGGUACACCUCGCUUUGCACCAUCUCGCUGGGGUGCUCGGAGAUGCAGGCCCCGUUGAUGUCGCUGAGCUUGUUGUCCGGCAGAUCCUCGGGUUUCGUGCAAAGUUUCAGCGCCCUGGAGAUGAAGACGUCCAAAUUAAACUCGGGCUCGGUUUCGGCGCUCACCUCCUCGGAUUCCUGGCGGAGGUGGGGAGGAGGAGACGGCUCCCGAAUCUCCGGAAGACUCGCAGGGACACUCGAGCCCCACUUGGGUGCUCUUCACCCACUGGGCGAUCUCCAAGAAGAGGUUGGAGGGUUCCUCCUCCAGGGACAGCUCGCUUUCGGGCGCGAUGGCCGCUCGUUUCCAGUGGGAUAAAUCCAAAAUCAGCUUGGGUUCCGAGUAGUGGUGGGGCUUGUUGUCUCUCCACAGCAAUUUGUCCAGGUAAGAGGGCGACCCCACUUUGUAAUCGCAGGAUUUGCCGCACUCGGCGUCAAAGACGCGGUCCAUGGAGGAGUGAGAGAGCUCCAGGAACCUCUCCGAGCUGCUCUGCGAAUAUUUCCGGGGAUCCACUUGCGCCUCCUCGGCGAUGGAUCCCGACCCCGCCCGCGGGUCCCGCUGAACCUCGUCCAUCUCGUGAUAUUUAUCGUGCCGCCAGUCCAAAUCAGACGAGAGGCUGACGUGGUACCUGGGAAAGACACGAGGUCGGUAAAUCUUGGCUACUGGGUUUGUCCCAGCUGCACCAGUCCCGGGAAGGACCUUUUUAACUGGGGUGUUCGUCUAGGACAGGGAAAAUCUGCUCUAACCCUCCACGUACAGGUUUCAAUCCAUUUAAAACCCAACUCCAAUAUGUUUUAACGCACCCCUCUAGGGCUUAGGCACCUUGAAACAGGAUAAAAUCAUCCCGAAUCUUGUCCCUGAAAGGAUGACAGGGUGUUAUAGGGGCGGAGGAUAGAGGGAAGAACCCCAAAUCGAUGGCAUUCAAAUGACAACGACGUAUGCUGUUGAUAAAACCGAGGGCAGAAAGAUUCCCAAGUGACUUGAAGACACAGAUUCAGCAUCUCCUCCCCUCGGAUAUCAACGACAAAACUCCCCAGCUUGAGUCAGGAUUAAAAAACGGCAUAAAAAAGGCAAAACAAGAACCCUUUGUGGGUCCAGGGAACGUGUUACCGAACCAAAUCGAUGCUCAGAGACUCACCGGUCCAAUUUGGCCUAGAAAAAUCCCAGUAUCUGGUCUCCAGGCCAGCCCCAGGCACUGUACCUGUCCCAGUUCGCCAUCUGGCUCUGGUUGGCUUCCAUCAGUAAAAUGUCAUCGAUCUCGUCCUCGAUCCGGAACGGCUGCUGCGACACCGGCUCGUCCUCGGGGCAGGAAUAGGGGCUCAUGUAAGGGUGCUGCAGCCCCAUCUCGGCCGUUAAGCGAUCCAUGGGGUUGAAGGUCAGGAUUUUCUCCAGGAAAUCGAUAGCUGGGAAGCACACAGAAGCAAACUCCCUCAGUCCUCAAAAGCACCGCUCGCUUUCGUUCCAGAAACAGCUUCGGGAACCCCAAACCCCCCCGAAGGAAGGAAGGAAUUAAAGGUCAAGUCCUGUCGGCGGUCUAACGCGGCCACGUUUGUCCUGCCUGCUUCGGGGUUACGGGGCUAAGUCCUCGGCACGACAAACGCUAUUAAAUUAUUUUGCACGUUAAUAUUUCAGAAAGUUUGGGCGUCUAGAAUUAUUUCAGAAAGACCGCGGAGAGCCAAGUCUCUACGAUGAUGAAAGAAGAAAUUUAGCGCAACGAAAGCAGCUAGAAUGAAACCUAAAUACGGGAUUUAUAGGGAUUUUUUUGCUGAUUCCUUUUAUGCAGGCUACAUAAAAAAGAUCAAAUCCUGCCAUUAAAGAUGCGUUGUUAUUAUUUGUUAUUCAUUUAGGUCUUGGUGCAUGGCAGAGUCCCUUCAAGUCCCGUUAAGGUAACGAGAAUUGGGUUUUUACCUUGGCUGUCCACCUCGGGGAGCAGCUGGCGCAGCGGCUUCCUCACCUCCCAGGUGCUGCUGAUGAAGCUGGGCAUCACCUUGAGCAGCUCCUCUUUGUCCUCCUCGUGGACGACGGGGAUCGUUUCCAAAAUCAGCUGCAUCUGCUCCAGCUCGUGUCCCCCUGAACGGGGCAGAGAGAGAAAGGAGGGGAGUUGAGGCACCCAAAAUCCCGGAGGGAAAGAGGCGGAGAACUUUUGGGCUGCGAUGCCUGCACCUACACGCGUUUUUUUGGCAGAUUUAGGAACAUUUGGGGUUUCAAGCCUUUUAUUUCCCGCCUAUUCCUAAGCUCCCAGAAAAGAGGAACAACACAUCCAAAUCUCCCCAAAGCAGAGCUUCCCGUGGCUCCAAACACACGAGCAAGGAGAAAAAAAAAGAGGAAAAAAACGAAAUAAACGGAUGGGGACCUACCUGCAAAGAGCAUCCUCCCCGUCAGCAUCUCCGCCAGGAUGCAGCCGGCCGCCCACAUGUCGAUGGCUUUGGUGUAGUCGUUGGGCGAGAGGAGGAGGCGAGGCGAGCGGUACCACUUGGUGACCAAGCCUUCCGAAAGGUAACCCUGGAAGAGCAGAGAGAGAAUUGUUACGGAUUGCAAAAAAGCCCCAGGUUUGCCCCCGUGCAGUUUUUUUGUAAUUUUCAAGCCUCGUUUUGCUGCUUCUGUUCCUAAGGCUUGCGUACGAACUACUCAAACGACCUAAAAAAAAAGGGAUAAACCUGCUGUGGGUAGGAUUAGUGUCAAGUUCUCCCAAAUAUCGUAGUAAAGAAAGUGAAAAGUGAAGAAAAUUGAGUGCAGGAGGGACUGAGGGCUUGAGAACCCUGGAGAACCACAGAGAUUCAGGAUCUGGCUCAGCCCCUCAGCGCCUCUCCUGAGCAUCCAAGCGUGCUGCACCCCAAAAUCCAGCGUUUUGCACUCAAAAAGCUGCGACGGCGAGUAGCGGGUGCCCCCAAAUCAGGAACCGGGCAGCACCCAGCACAAGCUCCUAGGUUCUUCUUCCCUCGAGGCUGCAAUUUCUGCCACUGACUGCUGGCGGAGCUGCAGCUCUGCGCCAUGCCCCAAGCUCUCCAGCCCUGCAAGGGCGCAGACGUGAGGAUAAACCCCAAAACAACAAAAAAACAACGCUUGUUAAUGAGGUGGGAACCCUUUCACGCGCUUCUCCUGUGGGGAUAAACGGCAGCUGGCGUUUUAUACAAGAAGAAGGGCGUCAACGGACGAGGCCGCGGCGAUUUCUCGAUUUCUCGGCGCCUACCUUGUGGGAGUAAUGCUGAUCCACGAUCCUGGCGAGCCCGAAAUCGCCGAUCUUCAACACCAGGUCCUCGGUGCUGAUAAAAAUGUUGGCCGGCUUGAGGUCUCGGUGGAGCACGUUGGCCGAGUGGAUGUAUUUGAGCCCGCGGAGGAGCUGGUACAUGAAGAGCUUGGCGUGCUCCUCGGCGAGCUUCCCCUGCUCCAGCAGGCGAGCCAGGUCCGUCUCCAUGUACUCCUGGACGAUGUAGACCACGUUGAACUUGAAGAAAUCCCCCCGCAGGCUGCUCCCCUUCGGCCCCAGCACCUCGUACACCUUGACGAUGUUGUCGUGCUCCAGCCGCCGGAUGAUCUUCACCUCGCGGAAGGCGUGCUUCAAGCUCCGCGCGUCGCUGAUGGCGAUUUUCUUCACCGCCACCUUACGGCAGCUCCUGCUGUCCAGGGCCGACAGCACCAAACCGUUGGCCCCGAAACCCAAAGGGCGGAAGUUGACGAAGCGGCAGCCCAGGUCGUAGCCGUAAACGCUGGCGAUGCAGUCGCACUUCUCGGCCAUGGCUUCUUUGGCCUUCACCAAAGCCUCGGGGGCCGUGCCGAAGCGCUGCCCGACGUCCCCAAGGCUUCAGUCCCGGGGCAAGCAGCCGGCGCCGAUGUCCCCGCGGCGGGGCAGAGCCCGGCGCGCCCCCAUGGCCCCUCCGCUGCCCCGCAGCCUUCCUCCUGCCCGCGGGUCUCCACAGAGCUUCUCCACCCAGCUACGUGCAUCGAACCUCACUCUUUCCCCGCUGGACUGUUUCCACGGGUGCAUUUCCAGUACCUCACGUGUCUUUUCCCUUGAUCUUUAGGAUAUAAAGUCCAAGAGUCGUCCCCGGCGCUGGGCAGCUCUCAGCCCUGCUCCUGGAAUUAAAAAAAAGAGAUGGAAUCACUCAAAAACACCACCAAACCCCACGUAAAGACUUUCCUCCUGGAAGGAGGGAAAAAAAAAAAGGGUUUUGCAGCUGGGAUGUCAGCCCCAGAGCUCGGUUUGAAGUUUGGCACCGCCACCUCUUCCGUGCAGCUGGGCUAAUCGCUCCGGAGGAUUGCUAGCCCGGCCCCGAAGAGCCUCAAAACAAAAAUGCUAAUGGGACGGCGUGUUCCCGGAGAGGAGGAAAGCGUCCUCAUUAAGAUGGGCGACUCGUGCUGUCCCCAGCUCGACAGAGAGCAAAGAUUUCGGAGCGGCACAAGGGAGAUCCGCGUGCCAGCUUGGCCCCCGCACCCCAAGCCUGGGAAGUUUGUUGCGCCCGGCGUGGAAGGAAACCCUCAGUUUUGCUUCGUCAGCUUCAUUAUUAAUAAUUAGUGAAGCGCUGGAGGCGCCGAAAAGGGAAAAUGUGCCGCGUAAGACCGGGAGGGAGGAAAGUUCUGGCUGAUAAGCGCGCACGGUAGCUGCACUUUUGUCCCGGGAACAUCUUGGCGGGGGCACAGAAAACAAGAAAAAUAAAUAAAUCAGAGCCCGAGAAGCCCCAGCUAAAAAAAAUUAAGCCCGCUUUUCCCCAUUUUGGGUUCAGAGCACGAGAAAACCUGCCUAAAAGCACGAUAAAACGAAUGCGUCUGAUUUAUUUACGCCCCAAUUUAGGUUGAGGGCUGACUUGGUUCCCAUCCGCGCUGCCACCUCCUCCCUCCCUCCUUCCCUUAGCAGGGGGAAUUCAUUAAAGCUCGAGUGCUGUAACGAGCCGGCUGUUAUUAAGGGAGCACCACGGGUGCUAAUUAAAGGAGGCUGAGAGCCAUCUCUCGCUUGAAAACGCUCGGAAGGGGCCGGAUCCUGCGGGUUUUUACAUCUCGGCAGUGAUGGGAGCAGAGAUUCAACAGCGGGGCCGGCACCAGGGACUGAAAAAUAAGACGCUCACGUGCACACAGGCUACCUGGGGUCUCCGAGAGCCACGUAACCUCCUCAGGAGUCCACUAUACACUUAUUUUCCCCCCAAAAAUAAUAUUUUUCAGAUGUUUUGACUGCCAGGAUGCAAAUGGAAACACUUUGGACUUUUAAACGGGGCACAAAAGGCGCUGGGCUGCCCCCGGCGCUGCUAAAUCAGCCGUGGCCGGGGCUUCGAGUGGCUGAGCACGGACAAGAGGUGAGGGAAAGCUUUCCCAGCGGGUCCGAGCACACAAAACCGCCCUGGGCCCUGCGGUUUCCAGCCGGGGAGUUGCUACUAAUGCCUCGAACAAACACUGGCGGGCUCCUAAAGGAGGGAGGAAAUAAAUAAACGGCGCUCACCCGCACCCCGUCCACCAGCCCUUCGCUCGCCGGGAUGCCACAGGUCAGGACUUUGCCUGCGUUAUCGCCGGCGGGGCCAAACCGAGAUAAAUAAAAGCAGGAAGGGGAUAAAAAUAAAAAUCAAAAUCAAACAACAAGGUAGGAAUAGCCCCGGAGGUUUUUCAUUCCAGCCCACAGCAGGAAUUUGCCCCAGAGGAGGAGGCAGGCACGGCACGCACACCGGGUAGUAAAAUUACACGGGGCAGAGCACCUUGCCCCAAAAACCACCCCGCUGAUCCUCGUUCCCCUCCUGUCUGCACACAGCAGAAGUUUGGGGUCCCUCCCCUGCAGCUCUCAUCAUUUUGGGAAAAAGUUGUGUGUUUUUGUGGGGUGCCAGCAACUGAACGAAGCGGCUGCGGACGAAAUGUGCUGGCGCUGUCAAAAAAAACACUGGAGAGCCAGAGAAUUGUAAGAAAAAAAAUGUAAGUCCUGGUCCUAAAAUAGCCCGAGGGAAAACAGAACGCGUUCCCAGUGACUUCUCCCCCCAAAUAACCUGGGUGGAGGGAGACAGCAAGGCGAUGCUGGGGACAAAAAUAAAAAAAAAUAAAAUAAAAUCACGCUGCCCAAA